UGCGUAGGCGGAUUAAUAAGUCAGUAGUGAAAUCUCUCGGCUCAACCGGGAAACUGCCAUUGAUACUGUUAAUCUUGAGUUCGGUUGAGGUAGGCGGAAUGUGUAAUGUAGCGGUGAAAUGCUUAGAUAUUACACAGAACACCAAUUGCGUAGGCAGCUUACUAGACCGACACUGACGCUGAGGCACGAAAGCGUGGGGAGCAAACAGGAUUAGAUACCCUGGUAGUCC
rnacentral:rRNA from 1 species